AAACCAACAGGGAUUGCCUUAGUAACGGCGAGUGAAGCGGCAAAAGCUCAAAUUUGAAAUCUGGCACUUUCAGUGUCCGAGUUGUAAUUUGAAGAAGGUAACUCUGGAGUUGGCCCUUGUCUAUGUUCCUUGGAACAGGACGUCACAGAGGGUGAGAAUCCCGUGCGAUGGGGUGUCCAAUUCUAUGUAGAGUGCUUUCGAAGAGUCGAGUUGUUUGGGAAUGCAGCUCUAAGUGGGUGGUAAAUUCCAUCUAAAGCUAAAUAUUGGCGAGAGACCGAUAGCGAACAAGUACAGUGAUGGAAAGAUGAAAAGAACUUUGAAAAGAGAGUGAAAAAGUACGUGAAAUUGUUGAAAGGGAAGGGCUUGAGAUCAGACUCGGUAUUUUGCGAUCCUAUCCUUCGUGGAGAGGUUUCACUUGCAGCUUACCGGGCCAGCAUCGGUUUGGAUGGUAGGAUAAUGACAUUGGAAUGUGGCUUUUCGGAGUGUUAUAGCCUUUGUUGAUACUGCCUAUCUAGACCGAGGACUGCGUUCUUUGACUAGGAUGCUGGCAUAAUGAUCUUAAGCCGCCCGUCUUGAAACACGGACC
rnacentral:rRNA from 1 species